CAUCUUUAAUACACUAAGAAGAGUCUUCAAUAAAGGGGUCGAGACUCAGCUCCUGGCUCUGCCUCUUCACUGAUCACUACUAGGUCCUCUCUCUGAGCUGGAAAAGAGUGUGUGUGGGUCAUGGAGGAGAGGCAUGGUGCAGCCUAGUGUCUCUAAAAUCCCAUCUGGCCCUGAGGUACAACUAACAUUGUUUAUCUUCUAAAUAACAAUGAGUCAAGUGACACCUGAAACGGAUAGCGGGGGAUCACAAUCAACGUGGAUGGCAAGUCACGAUCAUCACCCUCACAUGCUGCUUGAUGAGAAAAUUGCAAAAGCAGGUUUUAUGGAUCAGUUGCGAGCUCUACUAACUCGUAAUCUGAUACUGAAAAAGCGAGAUAAACAAAAGACUCUGUCGGAAUUUCUUAUGCCACUGUACUUUAUCCUCAUAUUGGCAAUCAUACGUAUGGCAAUUAAAGACAAAAAGUAUGACCCCAUCACGGAACCUCAUGGAAGUGCAUUGCUCAUGAAGAGUCUACCAUAUUUAUUGCAAGGAUAUCCUCUCCACAUUGCACCAAAUACUACAGAGGUAUGUAAUAUUUUUGUCAUGUCUGGGUCAAAUUGAUGGGAAUAUACAUUAAUG